GACGAACGCUGGCGGCGUGCCUAAUACACGCAAGUUGAGCGCUGAAGGUUGGUACUUGUACCGACUGGAUGAGCAGCGAACGGGUGAGUAACGCGUGGGGAAUCUGCCUUUGAGCGGGGGACAACAUUUGGAAACGAAUGCUAAUACCGCAUAAAAACUUUAAACACAAGUUUUAAGUUUGAAAGAUGCAAUUGCAUCACUCAAAGAUGAUCCCGCGUUGUAUUAGCUAGUUGGUGAGGUAAAGGCUCACCAAGGCGAUGAUACAUAGCCGACCUACGAGGGUGAUAGGCCACAUUGGGACUGAGACACGGCCCAAACUCCUACGGGAGGCAGCAGUAGGGAAUCGUCGGCAAUGGACGAAAGUCUGACCGAGCAACGCCGCGUGAGUGAAGAAGGUUUUCGGAUCGUAAAACUCUGUUGGUAGAGAAGAACGUUGGUGAGAGUGGAAAGCUCAUCAAGUGACGGUAACUACCCAGAAAGGGACGGCUAACUACGUGCCAGCAGCCGCCGUAAAAC
rnacentral:rRNA from 1 species